rnacentral:rRNA from 1 species
CGCCUACGGGACGCAGCAGUGGGGAAUAUUGCACAAUGGGGGAAACCCUGAUGCAGCAACGCCGCGUGAGUGAAGAAGUAUUUCGGUAUGUAAAGCUCUAUAAGCAGGGAAGAGAAUGACGGUACCUGACUAAGAAGCCCCGGCUAACUACGUGCCAGCAGCCGCGGUAAUACGUAGGGGGCGAGCGUUAUCCGGAUUUACUGGGUGUAAAGGGAGCGUAGACGGUUCUGCAAGUCUGAAGUGAAAGCCCGUGGCUUA